rnacentral:sRNA from 1 species
CGCGGGCUGUAAAUUGAGAAUCACUGGUGAAUAGAAUCAUAUACUUGAGUUUUUAAGAUUGGGUUGUAUUCCUGAGAAACUAAUCCAUAAUGUAUAUAAUAAAUGAUGUGGGACAUUAUAGUCAUGUUAUAAAAUAAGCUGUCUGUCACACGACGUAAAGAUGUAUUCCUAGUAAUUCCUACAGCUUACACAUAGUAUUUUUGAACGACUCCGUUUGUUACAAAGUUUUUGAGAACCAUCAUGUCAUUCUCUAUGGCUCAGUCUCGAAGUUUGUUUUACUUGACCCUGGUCGUAGUAAUAUUUGUGCUGUUGGGAUUGUACUCUUACAAGGGAGGAGGGACAUUGGUGAACUCAGUGCGUGGACAACAGGAUGUAGAUCACAAGUGCUCAGAUCUUUGCCCAAACGAUUCUCACCAGCUGAGGGCCAGCUCUUCCAAACAAGAACCAGGAGGGAGACUAGAAUGGAAAGACCGACUGGGCUCCCUGCCUAAAGUGGUCAACGUUAUACCAGCAGUGAAAGACGUUGAGAAGGAAUAUGAACACUGCGUACCUUUGCCCCAGUCGCCAAAACAAGGUGUCCGAAUUUGUGUGCAUGACCCGAAACGGGACGCUAUAGUUAGUGGGCAUUUGGCAG